UUCCGCCAAAUUGCAUGAUUGAAUAGCUUAAUUUGUUAAAUUUUCCAUAGUCUUUAUUUUUCUUUUUUCCCUCUGUUUAUUUCUAUUGUGAUCUCUAACCAAGGUUAUUUGUUCUUCAUUUUAUUUUUUCAUCAUGCAUCAUAGACAUCUCAUUAUGAAGGUGUUGGUUAAAGAUUGGUUGCCAAAAACGGGUUUCUGAUGGAGGACUCAAUUACACGAGUAACUGAGAAAAAUGCUGUAGUCCGAGAUUGGCCUUUGAGGACUCAAAAAGUAAAAGGGG
rnacentral:lncRNA from 1 species